GUGCUCGCUUCAGCAGCACAUAUGCUAAAAUUGGAACAAUACAGAGAUUAGCAUGGUCCCUGCACAAGGAUGACAUGCAAAUUCGUGAAACAUUCCAUACUUUU